CUAAUAUGUGCUUUUGUGCUGAUCUUGUGCAAACUUCUUAAGCCUGCGCACCUGCUUUCUCAUGUCCUGUCGGUGGAAAUCAUGGAGCCUCGGGACUGCUGUUUGAACGCUGUACUGUAGAAGGCACAGACUGAGAUGCUGGAUCAACUGCGCAUGCCUGUCUUUGUGACCGGCUGCUAUCGAUCCUUCCGAGCCCGUGUGCCACGCUGGAAAGCUGCAUCUAAGAGUUAAGAUUUACUGGCUUAAAAGCGUGUGUGUCGUGGGAUUGCGCGGUGGCUCAGUAAAUUGUGAGAAUUCAAUGUGAACAUCUUUGAAAUGCAGUUUCAAAUCUCCCACACGCUGACAAGAGCCACGUGAACCAUUGUGCAGCACUGCACCCAUUUGACAGAUGAGAGCAUGGAUACCUAACCGGAGCCUGGCAGGUCUUGGACAGCAGAGGCCACCCUGCAUCUGACACCAUCUCUUGUAAUCCAUGACUUCUCUUCCUGCCUCCAUGAAUCUCCAGAUAACAGAUUCCUGCCCUCCUAAAAGAUGGGAACUGACAUCCUAGCAGGCUCCUGGGCGAUGCAGAUGCUGGCAUUCUGGGCACUGCCCUUUGGAAAGCUAUGAUGACCACUGAAGCAGAACAGACCAAAGCAAAGAGGUGGGAAAGUCGCGAGAAGAUACAGGACUGGCUGGGAUACAUCAGGAAGAGGAGCUGCGAUGGAUGGGACUUCAAAUGGAAGUUGGUGAUUAUAUCCGUCCCAGCACCUCCCGCCUUGCAAGAGAGGCCUUAUAAAUCCUGGUCACAAGGAAGGGAAACAGAAGCUCAAGGAAGAGAGAGCCAUGGCUUCCUAGGUGUCAGUGAAGACCCAGACGCUGAAACUAUAACCGCCUAGUUCAGAAACCUAUACUUUGCUUGACCACAAUCCAAGCAGGGGGUGGGGAUGGGAUGUUUUUCUGCAGGGCUGGACAUAGAGUCAGUGUUCAGAGCACAUUGUUGGAGAGAGGAAGGAUGGGUGAGUGAAUAAGUGAAGAAAUGAAUGAGAGAACAGAACCACUUUGAGAGCCUGGAAACCGGGACCUCACGCUCUGUGACCUCACGCUCCAACUUCCCCUCCUCCCCGAGUCUGAUCUGAAAGGUGACCCCCGUUCCUCUCGCCCAGGUGAUAAAGCCAGGUGCAGGUGCACCUGUUACCCAAACCUGAUAUCCAAAUAGGAAGUAAGGCUGAGAUAAGGCUGUGGAGGGCAGUGCCUGGAAUCACGGGGUUGGGCUGGCCAUUGGCUUGAUGCCACAAGUGUCCACCGAGCCUCUCCUAAAGGUUGAGCUCUAUGCCAGGUUCCUUCAGGGUGAGGCAGGAAGCCACGCAGCUCCUGACCUCCAACAGCUUAUGGAAAAAAAAAAUACUUACAAACAGGAUGUGGGUCGGGCAAAGGGAGAAGUGUGAAGCAGGUGGCCAUUGCUCCCUGACAGCUCCAACAGGGAGUUGGGACUGAGAGAUGAGAAGAAAUGAGGCAGUAGUUAGUGAUGCCAGGGGAGGGGCCUGACCCUUGCACUGCCAUUGCUGAGGAAUAAGAGGUCCUUAAAGUUUAGCUCCUCAGACCCAGACCCCUCCCCAGUCCUCCUAC
rnacentral:lncRNA from 1 species